UACGGGGGGAGCGAGCGUUGUUCGGAUUCAUUGGGCGUAAAGGGCGCGUAGGCGGCUUGGUCAGUCCGACGUGAAAUGUACCGGUUCAACCGGGGCGCUGUGUCGGAAACUGCCGAGCUUGAGGCCGAGGGAGGAAGGUGGAAUUCCUGGUGUAGCGGUGAAAUGCGUAGAUAUCAGGAGGAACACCCGUGGCGAAGGCGACCUUCUAUCUCGGAUCUGACGCUGAGGCGCGAAAGCCAGGGGAGCAAACGGG
rnacentral:rRNA from 1 species